CCGAUAACAGACACCAAUGAUACACAAAUAGACUUUCGGACAAUCGUUAAUAAUAAUAAUUACUGCGGUGUGUUUUCUGUUUUUAACCCAUGCGUACACGUUCACAUGUAGCCUAUGUCGUGUAAUAGAGUAAACAUCGUUAAUAAUUGUUUGUAUCCGGACACAUUAGUCUCAGCGCACUUUGACGCAGUCUCGGGUUAGCUUAGCGUGCUAGCUGCUAACAAAGAGACGUGGAAGUUAUCAACACAUUGUUAAGCAGAGAACAGCCGUUGUGAUUGUUGAAAAUGUGCGAAAGAACGAUAGCAGAGUCCGAGGAUGAACUUUGUCCAACAAAAGAAGACAACAAGCGGCAACAUCAACUAUUGGACAUUGUUUUCAGGAAGCAUCAAGUUGUGUUACACAGAACAGAGGGACAGAAGGAGUCACGUCACCUUCACAUUAAACAGGAAGCGGAGGAGCCACAGCCCCCCUACAUUAAAGAGGAGGAGGAGGAGGAUUACAGCAUCAGUCAGGAGGGGACACCAAUCACUGGAGGCUCCACCUGUCCUUCAAGAUGCUCUCCCUCUUGACUGAUUCUGUGAUCCUCCUCUUCCUCUUUACUGUGGAUGGGUUCUGGUCUCUCCUCCUUUUUGAUGUGGGGGGGCUGAGGCUCCUUGUGCUGAAGAUGUUCUUCACUGACGUCUGCAGGACACAAGAAGACAAACACAUGCUUUACAAAAAUUCUUCACAGGCACGCCUCCCUCCUGAGCAAUCCAGAGUUCCUCCUCUUCCCUUUUAAUGUUGGGAAACUGUAGCUCCUCCAGCUUCAAGGAGGAACUCCCACCCUGAGGCUGAGUGGGUCCUUGACGCCCAAUCAGUUGCUGGCCGUCUUAUGGGAUACAAAUGAUUUUGAGUAAAGAAAAAAAAAAGUUUGGUUAAAGUUGCAAUACCAAUGAAAUUUGAACGUGUUUACUCACAGCUAUAAACGAGUGAAUCGUUUGAUCGGUACUGUAUGUGUAACCCAAUCUGCUUCACAUCAACAUGUUCAUUGGCCGCCAUCUUGCAUCAGAUAUUUACAGUAUAAUACUGCUUAACAUAACUCGUUCAUGCAGUCCUCUUGAUUCCUUAUAUUAACCAGGGGAGUCGUGUUAAAUUAUUAAACACAACAUGUCAACAUACCUUGACUGUGAAGGAAAAUGUUAGUCGAGCAAACCUCCAGCUGUUCUCGCUCGUACUCCUCUCUUGUUCGAGACAGUUCUUCCUCACCCGACGCCAUUGUGCUUUAAAUCACACAGAAAUGAAGUCAGCGGUCGCUGUUUGUCUUUUCUUUAUAACUCUUUUGUGCUUUUGAAUCCAUUCCAUGAUCAUGUCUGUCAACUUCCGCGUUUAGCUUCUUCCUCCUUGUUUUUUAUUGGCGGUGGCAGACCAGCUACAGGUAUUAGGUGCAUUAGCACCACCUACCGGUCACAGAAUACAUUACAAAUAUAUUAUACACGUAUUUGAAAAUUCGUGUAGAGAAUUGAUUGUCAUAUUUUUGUAAUUCAUAGUCACCACCGGAAGCUAUAACAGACUAAAAAAGUCAUUGCCUCACACAUUAGGUGGUUAAAAUACAGCUGCCUGUGAUUAUACACCUGGCCAGUGGGUGGUUUCGUGUGCACAUGAAGCUUCAACAGUGCCUCCUGACACAAGAUGGCGAUGGCUUCGUCACAACAAAUAUUUCAUCAACAGCCGCAGUUAGUCGCGGAUUCACCCACGCUCUCAUAGCAUUUGUACUUUACAUAUUUUUACACAAGCACAACACGUUACAGUCAUACUUCAUGUCUGCGAAGCGAUGUGUUGAUAACUUCCGUGUCUCUUUGUUUAGCAGCUAACAAGCUAAGCUAGCCCGAGAACCUUCAAAUGACUGCUGUCUCGUGGUGUAUCAGAAGAGCCGAAAGAGUCGAUUCCAUUCAGUAAGAGUUGGUGCCCCAAUUUCGAUACAAAUAUCGAUGGCGUCAAUGCGAUAAGUAUUAAAUUGUUCACAGAUAAGUUUGUUUGUGAAAUCUUUUAUUCUGAUUAAAAUCAGGAUCAACACAUCAAAUGCAAUUUUUAUUCAAUGAUCUUGACAAAAUACCUAAAAACGUAUUUAUAUCCGUAUCGGAAAUGCUGGCUCUGUAUUUACUUGGUGUCGGACUGAUAGCAAAAUUUGCAGUUUUCAGCUGUCAGUCGCAGCUAUGCUCACGUGAGGACAGAGGUACAUUUUUGCUUUGAUUGACAUGCCAUGCGGCCAAUCACACGUGAGAAUAUUUCUUCAUGAUGUGAAGUAGAUCGGAGUGAGUGCCAAAAAUAGCACAUCACCAUCACGACUGCUACCAAAGAAGUAGUAGCUUCUUCCUGAGAGGGUAGAUACUACAUCCAGUAUCGUGUGGUAGCCACAAGUCACCGAGAGGUGACAGCAUUCCAAAGUCACGCAUGGGGACGAGCAAACAGCAAGAUGGCGUUUGGUGUAGAAAAGUGUACUUUUCUGUUCUUAAUCCAUGCGUACACAUAUGUCGUGUAAGAGAGUAAACAUCGUUGUAGGAAAGGGGUAGUGGUUCUUUUACAGUUGGGACACCAUGGAAAGAUUCCGAUCAGAGAAUCGUUAAAUCAUCUUCAUUAUGGAGGUGGAUAGGCUCUUUAGAAAUGUGUGUUAGUGCACAUGAAAUUGGAUUUGUCCAAGUAGGACUGUGUCCAAAGGCUUGUAUGUGUGUUCUAAACAAUAGGAACACGUGCAAUUAUAAACAAUGCCAAGUAAAGCAGCCCAACAGCACUCACGUGACACGAAUAAAAACAUGCACAGUACACAUAUCAAGUCAUGCUAAGAGAUAGACAAGUGAGAGCAAACAUGCUAGUCUGUAAGCCAGCUAGCAAACAACCACAAGCGCAUGGCUCAGAAGUGUACCCCCAAUCACACCACAUCCAACAAACUAGCUUUCAUUUAGCUUCCGACACAGCAUAAAUCACGCAACAGCAAACACUCCUAAUGAACAAAGAAUCAUCAAACUCACUUUGUUGAGUCAUACAAGGCACACCAAGGAUGGACACUUCAUACUCCACAUGGGAAGCAAGCUCAUACUAGCAAAACUGCUACCAGUGCUCAGCUAGUUUCUUUGUAAGAAGGUUGCAUUCAAGUGCAUCACGUACCUCCCAGGAACAAGUUGCUGCUGCGUUCAUAGACACUUGGACAUCACGGAAAAAGGCUACAAAUGUUAUACCGAUAACAGACAUUAAUGUUACACAAUGUUAAUAAUCAUAAUUACUGGGGUGUACUUUUCUGUUCUUAACCCAUGCGUACACGUACACAUAUAUGUCGUGUAAUAGAGUAAACAUCGUUAAUAAUUGUUUGUAUCUGGACACAUUAGUCUCAGCGCACUUUGACGCAGUCUCGGGUUAGCUUAGCGUGCUAGCUGCUAACAAGGAGACGUGAAAGUUAUCAACACAUUGUUAAGCAGAGAACAGCUGUUGUGAUUGUGUGCAAAUGUGCGAAAGAACGACAGCAGAGUCCGAGGAGGAACUUUCUCUAACAAAAGAGGACAACAAGCAGCAACAUCAACUAUUGGACAUUGUUUUCAAGAAGCAUCAAGUUGUGUUAUACAGAACAGGUUUGUUAAAUAUUAAACAAGUUACAAGUUAAAUAUAACUUGUUGUUGGACUCAGGCGGUGUAUUUAAUAACCCAACAAGACGCACGCCAUAUUGUACAUUAACUGGUAAUUGUACACCAACCGUGGCUAAACGUUACCGUAAAUUUUCGACAUAAGCCAAAAAAACACGCUAACCGGGGCGGAUGCUAACCAAGAAUUAAAGCGUUACAAUUGUUAAAUGCCUUAACAAUGGAAAUUAGCAAGGUUUACCUGACACACGGCCAUUUUGAGGAAGCCAUAUCCGAGGCAAAGACGUUAAAGUGUGCUGUGAAAGACCGCCUACUCAGUCAAAAGUGUACACAAUAAUAGAUCAUGGUACCCAAUGGCGGAGGCCGGACGGUGGUCUCGUGGUUAGCAUGUUGGCCAACACAGUAACAGUCUGGAAAUUGGGAAAACCUGGGUUUGAUUCUCCCUUGGGCAUUUCUGUGUGGAGCUUGCAUGUUCUCCCCGUGUGUGCGUGGGCUUCCUCCCAAAAACAUGCAUGGCGACUCUAAAUUGUCCAUAGGUAUAUAUGUGAGUGUGAAUGGUUGUUUGUCUAUAUGUGCCCUGCGAUUGGCUGGCGACCAGUCCAGGGUGUACCACACCUGUUGCCCGAAGUCAGCUGGGAUAUGCUCCAGCAUGCCCCCGCGAGUAGCGGUAUAGAAAACGGAUGGAUAGAUGGUACCCAAAGGCAGAAUGUCGGCCAUUUUAGUAAGUGAGCGAGCAGGGCAUGGCUAGGCGCAGGGCGGGUUAUUUGCUACCUCUGGGCCGAGUAUAAAAUCAAGUUAUGCUUGGUGCGUAGACAGUUUGAGACA